rnacentral:rRNA from 1 species
UUAAGCAUAUCAAUAAGCGGAGGAAAAGAAACUAACAAGGAUUCCCCUAGUAACGGCGAGUGAAGCGGGAAGAGCUCAAAUUUGAAAUCUGGCGGUCUCACGGCCGUCCGAGUUGUAGUCUAGAGAGGCGUCAUCCGCGGCGGACCACGUACAAGUCCUUUGGGAUGCGGCGUCAUAGAGGGUGAGAAUCCCGUCCAUGACGUGGACUACCGUCGCUUUGCGUUGCGCCUUCGAAGAGUCGAGUUGUUUGGGAAUGCAGCUCAAAACGGGUGGUAAAUUCCAUCUAAAGCUAAAUACGGGCGAGAGACCGAUAGCGAACAAGUACCGUGAGGGAAAGAUGAAAAGAACUUUGGAAAGAGAGUUAAACAGUACGUGAAAUUGCUGAAAGGGAAACGCUUGAAGUCAGUCGCGUCUCCGGGGAUUCAGCUCGGCUUCUGUCGGGUGCAUUUCCUCUGGAGACGGGCCAGCGUCAGUUUCGGGCGUCGAAAAAUGGCGGGAGGAAUGUGGCACCUUUGGGUGUGUUAUAGCCUCCCGUCGGACGCGACGCCUGGGACUGAGGACCGCUUUAUAGGAUGCUGGCGNAAUGGCUUUAAACGACCCGUCUUGAAAACACGGA